GUGGGGAAUAUUGGACAAUGGGCGAAAGCCUGAUCCAGCCAUGCCGCGUGUGUGAAGAAGGUCUUCGGAUUGUAAAGCACUUUAAGUUGGGAGGAAGGGUAGUAACCUAAUACGUUGCUACUUUGACGUUACCGACAGAAUAAGCACCGGCUAACUUCGUGCCAGCAGCCGCGGUAAUACGAAGGGUGCAAGCGUUAAUCGGAAUUACUGGGCGUAAAGCGCGCGUAGGUGGUUCAGUAAGUUGGAAGUGAAAUCCCCGGGCUCAACCUGGGAACUGCUUUCAAAACUGCUGAGCUAGAGUACGGUAGAGGGUGGUGGAAUUUCCUGUGUAGCGGUGAAAUGCGUAGAUAUAGGAAGGAACACCAGUGGCGAAGGCGACUACCUGGACUGAUACUGACACUGAGGUGCGAAAGCGUGGGGAGCAAACAGGAUUAGAAACCCUGGUAGUCC
rnacentral:rRNA from 1 species